CAUUAAUCAGAAAAAUGACAUACUACUUUUCUAUGGAGAAUUGAAGAGGGAGAUGAAGAACAUCGAGCUGAAGAGCUGAAACCCCAAAUCAGAAUCGAAGAAUUGAUGAAGAGCUGUAGAUCGCUUUUCUCACAGAACCGCUGAAGAGCUGAAGAUCGAAAACAGAGCUGAAGAGCACUUAUACGAUUCCUUUUUUCUCGCUCCACUUUUAGUCUUUCUGAUUCAAUUACUUUUUUGUUUGUUUGUUGAUUCGUUGUAUUCACUUUAGUGUUAAUCUCUUGAAAACUUCAUUGUUGAAAUCCCUUUUUAGGAUGUGGGUUUUUGUGCUUUUUCCAUUCUUGUUUUUCUGAUAGCCUAAAUUACAUGGGUGUAGAGUUUGAGCUAGAGUAGGUUCAUGUAUUUUGCAUUCACUUUAGUGAUAAUCUAUUGAAACUUCAUUGUGAAUAAUCUAUUUUUGGGAUGUGGGUUUUGUUUGCUUUUACCAUUGUUAUUGUUCUGAUAGCUUAAAUGACAUGAGUAUAUAAUUUAAGCUAGAGUAGAUUCAUGUAUGUUGUAUUUACUUCAGUGUAAAUCUCUUCGAAGCUCAUUGUGAAAUCCUUCUUUUUUUGUGUGUGAGAAUGGUAACUCGAUUGUGACAAUUCCUUUUUGGGAUGUGGUUUUUUUUUCUUUUAAAAUUCCUUGUUGUUCUAUUUGUUUAAGGUUGCAUAGGUAUAGGAUUUGUAGCUGGAAUGAGUUCAUUGUAUCUAGUAUUCACUACAGUGUUAAUCUCUUCAAAGUUCAUAGUGACAAUUUCUUUUCCGGAUGUGGUUUUUCUUUUCUUUUCCUUUCUUGUCGUUCUGUUAGUUUAAAUUACAUGGGUUUAGAAUUUCGGCUGGAAUAGGGACAAUAUGUUGAUGCAUUCUUCCAACCACAAAUUUGAUAGGCCUGGCGAAGCUGAAGCCUCUAUUCAAAAGAGACGGAGCAACAACUACAGGGAAUUCUAGCCAGGUCAGUGAUGGUGCGGCUGCAGUGCUUCUCAUGAAGAGAAGUAUAGCUAUGCAGAAGGCACUUCCAAUUCUUGGUGUUUUCAGGUAAGCUAUAUUCUUUGCAUAUGAAUAUAGAUUGUUCUUUUGUGGUUAGUACUGAUCACCAUGAUGCUCAAUAUACACUAUUAGUCGGAUAAUUCGCAACUAUAUUCAGGCAGUAGCUAUUAUGUGCUAACAAAGUCAAAUAUGAUUUUAAAAGGUAACAAUAAUAUGCCCUUUAAGAUAGAAGGGGAAAUCAACAACAUAAUCGGUUGGUAUUUUAUCUCAAUCUUGAAUCCACGUUCUUCUUUCAUUGUUCUCUUUUUCCAUUUUUGUAGAUGCAACAAUACCAAUGUUUUUAGAUACAAAUAAACUAACUUGACACGAGUUUUGAUGCUACUAUUUUCAUUAACAAGAUUUGUGACUACAUCAACUGCCCAUUGAAUGAUACCAUUGGCUUCUCGAUAGUUCUAAGCAUCUUUGUGCCUGUUCAGCUUAUUAGCAAGAUGAGGCAAAGCUCUAGCAUCACAAUCAGUUGUUGGUGCUCCAACUAUACAUAAAAUUGAAAAUCUAAAGAAGUCGUCUGAUAGAUGCAAGAGUUAAGAACAACACCAUAUGUUAUUUAUAUUUCACAUUUCCACUUCCUCUGUUAUUUAUAUUUCAUAUUCACACUAGUAUUAUUUAGAUAAAAUUAUUCGUGGAACCUUCUUUACACUUGCUUAUGCUUUGUGGUUUAUUAUCUUUAGGGAGUACUCAGGACCAUCCCUUAGCUACUAUAUCAACAACUUUAAGCCCAUGAAAGUAGUCCAAGCCUCAGCACACUUGCCACAAAUAUUGUGUUGUUAUAGUGGUCUCGAUAAUUUCUUUCUUUCUUUUGGAGACAGAUACAACUCUCCAGAAUAUAACGUUAAGCAGUUGUAAGCAUACAAUAUAGUCAUUCUGAACUCGCGCACUCUAGUUUGGAUGAAUAAUAUGACUGAUUUGUUGAAUAUUGUUUUUUUUUUAGAUACACACUCUGUAUAACUAAGAAAUAUUGUAAGAUGCUAACUUUGGAGAUAUUGACUUCGUCAACUGCACAUUCGCUAUCUUCUACCAUCUUUGUAAGUGUAACUCUUUAGGAUAUUUUGAUUAUCGUCGUGUGGCUUCUUUGAUUUGUAUGUCUUUUUAUUAGGUAGUUUUUUGUUUUUGCUUCUAAAAACUACAUGUUGAGCAUUCAUUUAGGUAGCUUUCAGCUGUGAUGUGUGUUGCAAAGUUAAAAGUUGUAAUCUUUGCUUACCAUUUCCGACUAAGAACUGUACGAAAACAAGAGUUUGAUAGCAUGACAGGCUCCCAGUUUUUUUUCUGGUGGCUUUACAGGUAAUCUGCAAUUAGCUAUGUGAUGCCUUGUUUUGCUGACCCUUUUUCUCUAGUUUUCACCAUUUUUAAAUUCUAAUGUUUGUAAGCUGAUGAAUGAUUGUUAAGUAGGAACAUCAAGUAUGGUGACAACUCUCUAGAAAGAAACAAAAUGAUUUACUGUUGUAGUUGCCUGCUUGAGUCCUUUAAUUUCCUCUACACCUUGAUCUCACACAACUUGUAUUAUCUGUGCUAUAACUUUGGAUUGGAUUUAAAGGGUUGUUAUUCUGUAAAUAGUACUGACACCAUGAUGCUCAAUAUACCAUUAGUAAGGUAAUCUGCACGUAGUUAUGUGACGUCCAGUUCUGCUCUUGUUUUCGUAAUGCUCAAAGAGGAAUGGUGAUAGCUGAGGCUGAAGGCCAUCAUAAUGUAGGUAUCCUAUGUUCAAAAUUCUGCAAAACUUGAUGAAUGGUACACUGGAAAAUUAUAGUCAGACUGUCGAGACAUGAAUUUGAUCUCUAGCAGUCCAAGCCAUUACAUUUGCAGAAAGAAAUAGAUUUUUGAGAUGAAAACUAUUUCCUCUAUCCUACUAAGCCUGAAGUUAGAGCAGAAACUAACAUCAGUUGUUGAUCAUCUUGUUCAGGAAUUCAGCUUGCUCGGGAAAGUAUUCCAAUAGGGACCCGAAAAAUCUAACCCGGCAGGACCACAAUAGUUCUUUUCCGAUCAUUACUAAUGAUACUUGCUUACUUGAAUUUUCACGUGCGAUUUCUGGUAUUUUUAUAUGAAGUAGGUGAAGAGUGAAAUUCACGGGUCUCAAGUACAAUGGCAGCUGUGUGUGAAGAUCAUGAAAUUUAUGUGAAGAUAAUGAAAUUUCCUACUAUCAAUUAUUAGUUUGGACGUAAAUGAUCAACACAGGUAUAUUGAAUAUUGCUUAUUUUUGCCAGCUGGUGCAUCUAUAGACUACAAGAUUAUAGGAUUUGGAUUAUAAUAUUGGCACAUCCAGCUUAUUGUAUGACCUUAAAAUAUUCAUGUAUAUUCUGUCCACUCACCUUUUAUUUCUUCUUUAUUUUACAGGCUUCCCCUGGCCCCAAAAAGAUUGUGGGUGUUUUCUCCAAAGCAAAUGAAUAUGCUGAAAUGAACUACCACUUUUUGGGAUGUGCAGAAAAUGCCUUGGGGAUACGUGAAUGGUUAGAUUCUAAAGGUCAUCAGUACAUAGUCACUCCUGAAAAGGAAGGACCAGAUUGUGGAUACAGUGGAGAUGUUUGGUACCCACAACCAGCUCCCAAGGACCAUCUAUGGCGCUACAUGCCAACCAAGCUAUGACGCCUCACAUUCUGGGACUACCAUUGAUGCACAGCAAUUUUGUAGUUGAGGUAUACAGCUAGAACAAAGGAUAUGUUGGACAGGUACUUCAAGGGUGAGGAUUUCCCUGCGUUUGGGCUGCAAGUGCUCAUAUCAUAAUUGUUGUUAUUGGUUCAAGCGUUUUAUCUUUGGCUUGCUAUUGCUCAACUUGGUUGGAUUGAUGAUUUGGAUCAAAUUUGACGGCUUUCAAUUGUUGUUGUUGUACUUUCUUUCACUUGCUCGACGAUCGGUCUAGGUUUAAACAUUUCUCAAGUAGCAGAAACUAAAAAAUUGGAGGAAGUUUAACUAGAGUUAGCAUUGGAACUGUGACUGAAAUGCAAAAAGUUUGGAGAACUUUACAAGCACUGUGAGCUAUUGCUUUUGCCAAUUCUUACUCCCUCAUCCUUAUGGAGACUCAGGAUUUUGGAACUCCGACUUCUCCAGCGGACGAAAUAGAGAACAGGCUUCUUCUGGCAUGACGCCCAGCAGAAUACUCUGCUCGAACGCAUGCUCUUACCCAAAAUCUUAUUGCUGUCCAUUUUACACAGACUGAAUCUGACCGUACACGUAUAACUCCACCGCAACCUACUGUGUUCCUUCAAAACAAAGCAAGUUAGCAUAAGCAGGAAGAAGUACGAGCAUCAACAAGCAAGCAAAUGUUGUUCUUCUGCCACAUCUUUGCCCCAGGGAGCUGCAAGUUGGUUAGUUCUGGCUACUCCAAGAAACACUGCCUCAGAUGAACUAUGGUGUACACAUAUGUAGAAUAUUGCUUUAUAAGUAUGUGUACACACAAGACAUACUAUCUUUUGAAAUUUAUUGCAAAUUUAUAUAUUUGAAUUACUUAUUAGCCAA